rnacentral:lncRNA from 1 species
AUAUAUAUAAUAUAAUUUAUAAAUAAAAAAUAUUCAAAAAACCGAACUACCAGAAUUACUCAAAUAUUUUUCAGUUUUUAGUGUUUAACUCAGGUUUUCGGGUUUUUGGUUUGCGGGUUUUAAACCCGAACCAAAUCCGAAUUAUUUAUAAUUCAGUUCCACUUCUAGUUUUAUAAAAAAAAGUAGAAACCCGACCUGAA